AGAGUAAGCAUUUGCAAAGAAUUCUUCAUGUUCACUCACAGUUGCUAGGUGAAUUAAGUGGAGAAAAGACCGUUUUUUUUUAACAAAAGACCAGUCAGUCUAUUGGGUAGACACAAAACUACAUUAGGAUUAUCGAAUUCAGAUAAUGUAAAGAUAAGCUUUGUGACAGACUAACUUCUUCAAUCACCAUGAAGACAGCUCUGCUUCCAGAGACCUGUGACUAACCAAGCAUCAAGCCAGAAAAUAAAAAAGUUUUAUAUUUUAAGGACUGUGGCCGACUGUCACCAUUUGAUGUCACAACAAAGAAAUAAACAGUUCUAUCACCAAUCAGAGGUCACAUGACAAAGUGAAAGGUAGUGGUGUCAGUCAGUCCAUGUCACUGAAGACUCAUCCAUCCUAGAGGCAUGUCACAAACAGCUUCAUAUGUCGUUGAAGGCAGGAGUUGAUCACACAGAUGUCCAGAGGAGUUAGGAAUGAACUCAACUUGGACCCACUGUGGAAGGAGAAGAAUAGAACAUUUUUCUCAUUAAUUAAGAACUGAAAUUUCUUAACACCAACUUUGAUUUGAUAAAGAACUGUGAAUGCUUAUUAUACAUCAUGUUUCUUGGAUAGGUAAGAUUACUUUAUCUCAUUGUAGGGACCAACACUGCUCCACUCUUGUCAAAAUUGCAGCACCCCUAUUUUUCAUUUUGGAAUGGUCGCACUACUCAGUCAUGAACCUGCACGAGUCAUGACCCAAGUGUGGUCAUUCUUGAAUAAGACCACACUGAGAGGACAUCAACAUCAUCUCUGUCCAUUGCAGGUAUGCUGGAGAUUGUUCAUUUUAUUCUGAUACAUUUUCAUUCGCACGAGUUUGGAUUUCUUAUAUAUCAUUGAACUAGAGUGGGAUCAAAUGGAAUUAUUAGUCACUGGAAAAGCUUCCGAUCUAGAAAGAUGAAUUGUUUUCAGAUUUAGUUUGAUGGUUGUGAUUGAGAAUAUUUCUGAGAAGUGAAGUUAGGAGCAGAGUAACAAGUGAUACAUGUGUAUUAUUGUUUUUAUUAAGCCAAGUAUUUCUUUUAUUAGUUUAUUACUUAGUAGAUAUCAUGUUAAUCAUGAGUCCAACUUUAUUUAGCUUUCCACUCUUUAAGCGCCUUUAAUGAAUUGUGCACAGGAUGACUUGUCUGAAGUAUUGAACUUGACCUUUCAAAGUUUGGAAUAAGUUUAGUACCGUUUCAGACUUAGUGCUAUUCUGUUAAUACUUCAGGGCUGAGUUGCUAUGUUCAAAGUUCUUGCUUCAUCUGAAUGGGAAAUAGGACAGCAGUCCAUGAAGUGAAUGUAAUUGACAGUUGUUAAUUGGUCUGAUUGGGGAAAAUGAAUUUAAUUUCAUUUGUUCAAUGUGUACGCCACAGAUUGCAUUCUUGCAGAAUUUGUGUAUAACAUAAAACUCAGGUGGCAGUGGGACCAUGGAGGAAGGAGGGGACCAAGGAGGUCCAGUAUGUGUAUACAUGGAGACACUGUGUGAACACACAGUUAUAUAAUGAGUUAGUGUUUCAGUUUGGGAGUUGGUUCACACAGCCCAGCCUACCACAUGUGGAGCAGAGGGCCUAGUGGCCAAGGGUUGAAUUAUGAGGGCUUGACUGAGCUCUGUUUUAGUGUUCUUGGCUAAGUGCAGCAGAAACCAGUGGGGACAAGAACACCCUUUUUUCCUUGUGAAUAUUUAACGAAGCCCGGCUUUAAGAAGUUUUGGCAUGGUUUUCAUUCAGUCAUAGAGCAAGAAACUUUGUAAACCUUACUCUGUUAUUUUAUAAAACCAUAGAGAAAAGACAGAGAUAAACUGUAUUGAUAUUAUAUUACAUGUCAUGGCAAGUUGAUUCUUGAAUAAGACCACACCGAGAGGACAUCAAUAUCAUCUCUCUCCAUUGCAGGUGUAACAUCAUACUUAUUUAAAAGUUAGAGCUGAUUUCUCAUUAAUGAUUUAUCAAACAGAUUUAAUAUACGUGCAAAGUAUACAAGGCAUGAUCUUUGUGAAAGAAUGGCGUAUCGCCCAGUGGUAUGUGGUAUGCUUAUGUGAACACUGCUGUGGCUACCCAUGAAAAGAUGUGAGCGGCACACAGAGAUCUUAAUGACAACCAGUGUUACCUGUGUAUGACAUAACAUAUAGAAUGGCAGUAAUGUUUUUGACUUGUUAAAUUGUUCCUCUGUGCUUGAGAGGUAAAGAGAGGGACAUAAAUCUUGUGUUUCCUUA
rnacentral:lncRNA from 1 species